rnacentral:lncRNA from 1 species
ACCAACUUGAAAACUGGGCCAAUAAUCAAAAAUCUAAGUACAUUUUUAGAUUCAGCAUAUCAAAGAACCCCAAGGAUUCAAUUUUUGUUAAAAUCAAACUAAGUUUAAUUUUGGACCCUUUGGACCUUAAUGUAGACCAAUUGGAAAACGGGACCAAAAAUUAAGAAUCUACAUACACAGUUAGAUCAGGCAUAUCAAAGAACCCCAAUUAUUCAAUUUUUGAUGAAAUCAAACAAAGUUCAAUUUUGGACCCUUUGGGCCCCUUAUUCCUAAAAACCUGUUGGGACCAAAACUCCCAAAAUCAAACCCAACCUUUCUUUUGUGGUCAUAAACCUUGUGUUUAAAUUUCAUUGAUUUCUAUUCACUUAUACUAAAGUUAUUGUGCGAAAACCAAGAAUAAUGCUUAUUUGGGCCCUUUUUUGGCCCCUAAUUCCUAAAAUUUUGGGACCAAAACUCCCAAAAUCAAUCUCAACCUUCCUUUUUUGGUCAUAAACCUUGUGUCAAAAUUUCAUAGAUUUCUAUUUACUGAAACUAAAGUUAUAGUGCGAAAACCAAGAAAAUGCUUAUUUGGGCCCUUUUUGGCCCCUAAUUCCUAAAAUUUUGGGACCAAAACUCCCAAAAUCAAUCUCAACCUUCCUUUUGUGGUUAUAAACGUUGUUUUAAAAUUUCAUAGAUUUCUAUUCACUUUUAGUAAAGUUAGAGUGCGAAAACUAAAAGUAUUCGGACGACGACGACGACGACGCAGGACGACGACGCCAACGUGAUAGCAAUAUACGGUCGUAUAAAAAUCUAAAUACAUGGUUAGAUUCAGCAUAUUGAAGAACCC